rnacentral:rRNA from 1 species
CAAUCACUUGUCUUUUAAAUGAAGACCCGUAUGAAUGGCACCACGAGGGCUUAGCUGUCUCCUUUUUCAAGUCAAUGAAAUUGAUCUCCCCGUGCAGAAGCGGGGAUGAUAAUAUAAGACGAGAAGACCCUAUGGAGCUUUAGACNCUAGUGAAGACCACGAAAAAAGCUUUGAGUUAAAAAAGAAAACCCCAGUGAUUUCUCCACAACUGUCUUUGGUUGGGGCGACCGCGGGGAAAAACAAAACCCCCACGAGGAUUGAGAGUUCAACUCCUAAAACCAAGAGCUACAGCUCUAAGAAACAGAAAUUCUGACCUAUGUGAUCCGGGAAACCGAUCAACGAACCGAGUUACCCUAGGGAUAACAGCGCAAUCCCCUUCCAGAGCCCA